rnacentral:rRNA from 1 species
CUCCUACGGGAGGCAGCAGUGGGGAAUUUUGGACAAUGGGCGAAAGUCUGAUCCAGCCAUGCCGCGUGAGUGAAGAAGGCCUUCGGGUUGUAAAGCUCUUUUAGUCGGAAAGAAAGAGUUGCAAUGAAUAAUUGUGAUUUAUGACGGUACCAACAGAAAAAGCACCGGCUAACUACGUGCCAGCGCCGCGGUAA